UGGCGCGUAGCUCAACCGGAAGAGCGUCACUCUCCUAAAGUGAAGGCUGGGGGUUCGACCCCCCCCGCGCCAA
rnacentral:tRNA from 1 species